rnacentral:tRNA from 1 species
UAGAAGAUGGUGUAUGGGUGGCACGAGGAGUUUUGGUCUCUUAUGUACAGGUUCAAAUCCUGUUUUUCUAA